rnacentral:rRNA from 1 species
GACGGAGGAUGCAAGUGUUAUCCGGAAUCACUGGGCGUAAAGCGUCUGUAGGUGGUUUAAUAAGUCAACUGUUAAAUCUUGAGGCUCAACCUCAAAAUCGCAGUCGAAACUAUUAGGCUAGAGUAUAGUAGGGGUAAAGGGAAUUUCCAGUGGAGCGGUGAAAUGCGUAGAGAUUGGAAAGAACACCGAUGGCGAAGGCACUUUACUGGGCUAUUACUAACACUCAGAGACGAAAACUAGGGUAGCAAAUGGG